rnacentral:ncRNA from 2 species
UACAUCCACUGUCUGCCGAAUGCGCGGGAAGGCGGUGUAAAUCCGCCACUGCCCCGCAACUGUAAACGAUCGGCAAGCCCGCAACACGCCACUGCCCGACAAUGACGGGUGGGAAGGCGCGGGUCGGAAGCGACGGUAGCCACGGCAAACGUUUUUCUUGCCGUGGGCUGUUUCUUCCCGACGUGAGUCAGGAGACCGGUUCGGCAGCUCUCGCGUUC